rnacentral:rRNA from 1 species
GCUAAUCCUGGUCGGACAUCAGGAGGUUAGUGCAAUGGCAUAAGCCAGCUUGACUGCGAGCGUGACGGCGCGAGCAGGUGCGAAAGCAGGUCAUAGUGAUCCGGUGGUUCUGAAUGGAAGGGCCAUCGCUCAACGGAUAAAAGGUACUCCGGGGAUAACAGGCUGAUACCGCCCAAGAGUUCAUAUCGACGGCGGUGUUUGGCACCUCGAUGUCGGCUCAUCACAUCCUGGGGCUGAAGUAGGUCCCAAGGGUAUGGCUGUUCGCCAUUUAAAGUGGUACGCGAGCUGGGUUUAGAACGUCGUGAGACAGUUCGGUCCCUAUCUGCCGUGGGCGCUGGAGAACUGAGGGGGGCUGCUCCUAGUACGAGAGGACCGGAGUGGACGCAUCACUGGUGUUCGGGUUGUCAUGCCAAUGGCACUGCCC